rnacentral:misc_RNA from 1 species
GAUGAAGAACGCAGUGAAAUGCGAUAACUAAUGUGAAUUGCAGAAUUCAGUGAAUCAUCGAGUCUUUGAACGCACAUUGCGCCCCCUGGUAUUCCGGGGGGCAUGCCUGUCCGAGCGUCAUUGCUGCCCUCAAGCCCGGCUUGUGUGUUGGGCCCCGUCCCCCUCUCCGGGGGACGGGCCCGAAAGGCAGCGGCGGCACCGAGUCCGGUCCUCGAGCGUAUGGGGCUUUGUCACCCGCUCUGUAGGCCCGGCCGGCGCCAGCCGACAACCCAUCAUCCUUUUCAGGUUGACCUCGGAUCAGGUAGGGAUACCCGCUGAACUUAAGCAUAUCAAUAGCGGAGGA